AUUGAACGCUGGCGGAAUGCUUUACACAUGCAAGUCGAACGGCAGCACGGACUUCGGUCUGGUGGCGAGUGGCGAACGGGCGAGUAAUGUAUCGGAACGUGCCCAGUCGUGGGGGAUAACGUAGUGAAAAUUACGCUAAUACCGCAUACGAUCUAUGGAUGAAAGCGGGGGAUCGCAAGACCUCGCGCGAUUGGAGCGGCCGAUAUCAGAUUAGGUAGUUGGUGGGGUAAAGGCCCACCAAGCCAACGGUCUGUAGCUGGUCUGAGGGGACGACCAGCCACACUGGAACUGAGACACGGUCCAGACUCCUACGGGAGGCAGCAGUGGGGAAUUUUGGACAAUGGGCGAAAGCCUGAUCCAGCCAUUCCGCGUGCAGGAUGAAGGCCCUCGGGUUGUAAACUGCUUUUGUACAGAACGAAAAGGUUUCUACUAAUACUAGGAGCUCAUGACGGUACUGUAAGAAUAAGCACCGGCUAACUACGUGCCAGCAGCCGCAGUAA
rnacentral:rRNA from 1 species